rnacentral:rRNA from 1 species
UAGGGAAUCUUCGGCAAUGGGGGCAACCCUGACCGAGCAACGCCGCGUGAGUGAAGAAGGUUUUCGGAUCGUAAAGCUCUGUUGUAAGAGAAGAACGUGUGUGAGAGUGGAAAGUUCACACAGUGACGGUAACUUACCAGAAAGGGACGGCUAACUACGUGCCAGCAGCCGCGGUAAUACGUAGGUCCCGAGCGUUGUCCGGAUUUAUUGGGCGUAAAGCGAGCGCAGGCGGUUUAAUAAGUCUGAAGUUAAAGGCAGUGGCUUAACCAUUGUUCGCUUUGGAAACUGUUAUACUUGAGUGCAGUAGGGGAGAGUGGAAUUCCAUGUGUAGCGGUGAAAUGCGUAGAGAUAUGGAGGGACACCGGUGGCGAGAGCGGGUCUCUGGUCUGUAACUGACGCUGAGGCUCGAAAGCGUGGGGAGCAAACAGG